rnacentral:rRNA from 1 species
CACGGAGUUAGCCGAUGCUUUUUCUCCGGGUACUCUCAGCUGAGCCACACGUGACUCAGCUUGCUCCCCGGCAAAAGAGGUUUACAAUCCAUAGGACCGUCUUCCCUCACGCGACUUGGCUGGUUCAGGCUCGCGCCCAUUGACCAAUAUUCCUCACUGCUGCCUCCCGUAGGAGUCUGGUCCGUGUCUCAGUACCAGUGUGGGGGACCUUCCUCUCAGAACCCCUACGCAUCGUCGCCUCGGUGGGCCGCUACCCCGCCGACUAGCUAAUGCGCCGCAUGCCCAUCCCUGGCCGGAAUCGCUUCCUUUGAUCCUAACGGGAUGUCCCGUAAGGAUGUUACGCGGUAUUAGACCGGAUUUCUCCGGCUUAUCCCCCAGCCAGGGGCAGGUUGCAUACGUGUUACUCACCCGUGCGCCGGUCGCCGGCGGAUGAAGCAAGCUUCAUCCCCGCUGCCCCUCGACUUGCAUGUGUUAAGCCUGUCGCUAGCGUUCAUCCUGAGCC